rnacentral:rRNA from 1 species
UGUAAGCGUAUACCAAAGUUGUUGCAGUUAAAACGCUCGUAGUCGGAAUUUGGCAGUUCCGGAUGUGUGCACGUCGUGUGCGCACUUCGCGGGGAUUGCUUUUGUGGUCUUGCGUAGGAUGAGGCACUUUUAUUAGUGAAAGUCCUCACGCAACCACUUUUUACUGUGAGAAAAUCAGAGUGCUCAAAGCAGGCAUUUGCCGUGAAUGUAUUAGCAUGGAAUAAUAGAAUAGGACUUGGUUCUAUUUUGUUGGUUUGUUGGGACUGAGUAAUGAUUAAGAGGGACAGUUGGGGGCAUUUGUAUUUCGGUGCUAGAGGUGAAAUUCUUAGAUUACCGAAAGACAAACUGCUGCGAAAGCGUCUGCCAAGGAUGUUUUCAUUGA